AUGCCGACGGUGAAUAUCGUCGAGGUCGGCCACGUGGUCGUGCCACCACCGGAGGACUUGGUAGUCAGGCUAUCCGCGCUGGACGCGCCGUGGGUCGCGAUCCCGCUAAUCCAGCGCGUGCUCCUCUUCGUCGAUGGCGCCGGUGUCCAGCAGCACCCGCCAUUCGAGUCGCUCGUGGGCUCCCUCCGUGCGUCCCUCGCGGCCACGCUCGCGCGGCUCCCCCCGCUCGCCGGGAGGGUCGUCUUCCUGCCGUCCACCGGCGACGCGGCCAUCGACUGCUCCGGCCCCGAGGGAGGCGGCGUGCGGUUCGUCGUCGCAGAGAGCGACGACGCGGACGCGCGGCGGCUCGCGGGGGAUGCGGACCACGAAGUGGACACGUUGGAGGCGCUCGUCCCGGAGCUCAAGGCGGAGGCGCUCCCCGCGGAGGUGCUGGCCGUGCAGGUCACGCGGCUCAAGGGCGGGGUGGCGCUCGGCGUGGCACUGCACCAUGCCGUGGUCGACGGCCGGUCAGUGUGGAUGUUCCUGCAGGCGUGGGCCGCGGCCUGCCGCGGCGACGCUACUGCCGUGGCUGACAUGACGUUCGACCGCGCGGUGGUGGCCCUCCCCGGCGUCGGCGAGGAGCUCGCGAGGAGCACGCUGCGCAAGUACGCGCCCAAUCUGCCGCUGGAUGCCAACAUGUCCCUAGCACCCCAAUUAAACUCCCUCGUCAGACAUUCACCGUCACCGCGAAGCAAAUCCACCACCUGA
rnacentral:rRNA from 1 species